AGCAGCCGCGGUAAUUCCAGCUCCAAUAGCGUAUAUUAAAGUUGUUGCAGUUAAAAAGCUCGUAGUUGAAUUUCGGGAUCAAUUCGUCGGUCGUGCUUUUUGGUACGUACUGGUGUUAUUGGUUUCUCCCUUCUGACAAGCCAUGAUGUCAUUAAUUUGGUGUUAUGGGGAGUUAGGACUGUUACUUUGAAAAAAUUAGAGUGUUUAAAGCAGGCAUUAGCUUGAAUACAUUAGCAUGGAAUAAUGAAAUAGGACGUUCGAACCUAUUUUGUUGGUUUCUAGGAUCAACGUAAUGAUUAAUAGGGAUAGUUGGGGGCAUUAGUAUUCAAUUGUCAGAGGUGAAAUUCUUGGAUUUAUUGAAGACUAACUACUGCGAAAGCAUUUGCCAAGGAUGUUUUCAUUAAUCAAGAACGAAGUUAGGGGAUCGAAGACGAUCAGAUACCGUCGUAGUCUUAACCAUAAACUAUGCCGACUAGGGAUCGGAUGAUGUUAAUUUUUUAAUGACUCAUUCGGCGCCUUA
rnacentral:rRNA from 1 species